rnacentral:rRNA from 1 species
UACGAAGGGGGCUAGCGUUGUUCGGAAUCACUGGGCGUAAAGCGUACGUAGGCGGAUCGUUAAGUCAGGGGUGAAAGCCUGGAGCUCAACUCCAGAACUGCCUUUGAUACUGGCGAUCUUGAGACCGGGAGAGGUGAGUGGAACUGCUAGUGUAGAGGUGAAAUUCGUAGAUAUUCGCAAGAACACCAGUGGCGAAGGCGGCUCACUGGCCCGGUACUGACGCUGAGGUGCGAAAGCGUGGGGAGCAAACAGG